rnacentral:sRNA from 1 species
GGACCAUUGAGUAAAAUGUCAUUGAGUGA